rnacentral:rRNA from 1 species
UACGUAGGGUGCGAGCGUUGUCCGGAAUUAUUGGGCGUAAAGAGCUCGUAGGCGGUCUGUCGCGUCGGUCGUGAAAACUUGGGGCUUAACCCUGAGCUUGCGGUCGAUACGGGCAUGACUGGAGUUCGGCAGGGGAGACUGGAAUUCCUGGUGUAGCGGUGAAAUGCGCAGAUAUCAGGAGGAACACCGGUGGCGAAGGCGGCAUCCUGGACCGGCAUUGACGCUGAGGCGCGAAAGCUAGGGUAGCAAACGGG